rnacentral:rRNA from 1 species
GUCCCAGCCGCCGCGGUAAUACGUAGGGUGCGAGCGUUAAUCGGAAUUACUGGGCGUAAAGCGUGCGCAGGCGGUUUUGUAAGACAGAGGUGAAAUCCCCGGGCUCAACCUGGGAGCUGCCUUUGUGACUGCAAGGCUAGAGUACGGCAGAGGGGGAUGGAAUUCCGCGUGUAGCAGUGAAAUGCGUAGAUAUGCGGAGGAACACCGAUGGCGAAGGCAGUCCCCUGGGCCUGUACUGACGCUCAUGCACGAAAGCGUGGGGAGCAAACAGGAUUAGAUACCCUGGUAGUCCACGCCCUAAACGAUGUCAACUGGUUGUUGGACGGCUUGCUGUUCAGUAACGAAGCUAACGCGUGAAGUUGACCGCCUGGGGAGUACGGCCGCAAGGUUGAAACUCAAAUAAAUUGGCGG